GAGAUGGAUUGAUGCCUUCCGGAAUCUGGCACAGGUGCGGCAUGGGUGUCGUCACCUCUUGUUGUGAAAUGUUGGGUUAAGUCCCCCAACGAGCGCACCCCUUAUCCUUUGUUGCCAUCGGUUCGGCCGGGAACUCAAAAGAGACUGCCACUGAUAAACUGGAGGAAGGUGGGGAUGACGUCAAGUCAUCAUGGCCCUUACAAGUAUGGCUACACACGUGCUACAAUGGCGCAUACAAAGAGAAGCGACCUCGCGAGAGCAAGCGGACCUCAUAAAGUGCGUCUUAGUCCGGAUUGGAGUCUGCAACUCGACUCCAUGAAGUCGGAAUCGCUAGUAAUCGUAAAUCAGAAUGCUACGGUGAAUACGUUCCCGGGUCUUGUACACACCGAA
rnacentral:rRNA from 1 species